UACGGAGGAUGCGAGCGUUAUCCGGAUUUAUUGGGUUUAAAGGGUGCGUAGGCGGUCUCUUAAGUCAGCGGUCAAAGCCCGGGGCUCAACCCCGGCCCGCCGUUGAAACUGUGUCCCUUGAGUAUCGGAGAGGCAAGCGGAAUUCCUAGUGUAGCGGUGAAAUGCGUAGAUAUUAGGAGGAACACCAGUGGCGAAGGCAGCCUGCCGGCUCCACACUGACGCUGAGGCACGAAAGCGUGGGUAUCGAA
rnacentral:rRNA from 1 species